rnacentral:snRNA from 1 species
AGCUUUGCGCAGUGGCAGUAUCGUAGCCAAUGAGGUUUAUCCGAGGCGCAAUUAUUGCUAAUUGAGAAAGGGUAGCCUCUGCCAUGGCGACCACGUUGAGUCAGUGACCCACCUGUGAUCUUUCCUUGCCUGAUCUUCUGCACCUUGUAGCGAAUGGAGGUCCCCACCAUCAGG